UUUNUAUAUCACGCAUAUGAAGAAUCAUUAAAUGUUAACCCAAGUGGGGCCUGACACCCAAAUUUUGCAAAUAUUUCCCUUACAAAGUUAAUUAUAAAAUAAAAUAUACAAAUUUCUUACUAAUCAUCCUAAAACCGCUCUCCUUGCUCAUCGCUUGUAUGGCAUAAGUUUUAGGGAAAAAAUCAAGAUGGGAAUGCAGAAAAUGUAUCUUUUUUGAACAAUUGCUGAAGCGUUUCGUUUCUUUUCCUGCAUACAGUGACUCAUAUUCCACUUCUGCAACUAUGUUUCAACUUCUUGUUUCUACAAGCAGAUCAAAUCAAUCUGUUCACUUUGCGUUAUUAUCCAUAUAAUGAUUUCCUUCCAUGACGAAAUCACUGGUUGAAGGAGAUCAAGUUGGACGAACUGGUGAUGGGACUAUUUCUAAAAGUAGCAAUCAUCUACAAGAUUUUAUGGUUCUCUCUAUAGCAUUCUGCAAUGAAAAUGUCAACGAAGUGACCACUUCUUCGUUAUUUUUUUUAAAGAACUCAAAAUCCAGAACCAACCUUGACAAACAGAUUGAUGAUUCAGGUCCAAAAGUUUAUCGGAAUUUGUAAACUUGUGUUAUCAAUGCAACCCAAGUAUAUAAAAUUACUUGGGUUCUAUUAACCUGAAAACUAUUAAAAGCACCGUUCUUCUCAUUUAAAGAAUUCUGUUUUUAAGAUGCUAGACUCUUGAGAUAUAAAGUGCGAUAAGUUCAUUUCUUUUAUAAUUAGAUAACAAUGUUUAUUUUUGUUAACACCAUAUUUAGGUGACUAAUAUCAGGCGGCGAAUCCAUCAGCAGCCAGAUCAACAAAAUUCAGUUUCUCUUCUUCGUGUAUAGCAAGUUCUUCCCACAUCUCAUCAAGGUCUUCACUUACAUAUGAUUUUUCAGUAUUGGAGUCUCAACUUGAUAAAACUCUAUUUACCACACUUCUUCUAAAAGCCACUACUUCGUCAACACACUUUUAAUUAUACAUUUACGCCGUCCAAUAAACAUUUUGAGAACGAAAAUUAUUUAUAAAAAGAAUUCAUGGUUUUGCGGAGUGAGUUCUUAGGGGAUUCUUAAGAACAUAAAUGGAUAAAGAUAAUAACGAAGUUUGUAAAUAAACGUGUCCAAUUAUAAUGGUGCUUUAGUGUUAGAGAAGGGCAUACGUUAUCCAUGUUUGGUUAAUCAUUAACAUCACCUUCCAAUAACAUCUUUUAGAAUACUCCCAGAUCCUUCCAUGCUUAAAAAAGUUUAUUAAUUCAUUCCAUAGUUACCAAUACUUACAGAAUACUGAGUCUUUUUUUUAAUUAUUUUAAACUACCGUGCAAUAUAACAUAUAUAAACAUAUUCUACUUAAUUGCAAAAAAAAUUAUAAGUUUUUGUGGAAAUCUUAUUUUAUAAAAAUGUAAUUGAGGGCGGUGAAGAAAAGUUUAUUUAUUUUAGUAUUUUUAAGACAAAAAAAGGGGAACGGUUAUUAUUUUAAUAAAGAUUAAAUAAAAAAAUAACUCGGAAUCGAUAAGACUUUUAAAAUUCUUGAUCGAAACAAAGAAUUUAAUGAAUUAGUCUUAUCAAUUCAAUUUUUUUAAAAAAUAAAUCGAUAUAAAAAAAGUUGCGAAAAAAAAACUAUUUUCAAUUAUAACAACCAAAUAUAAAUAUAAUAAACAUAAUGUAGUCAAUUUGAGUCAUAAAGAAAUAAUAAUAUAAAAAAAGGGGCGCUUAAAAGCGAUCUAAAUAAGUUGUCCCGUUUAAAUAGAUUUAAAUGUUCAUUUUUGGUUUAACAUUACCUCGUUAUCGUGUAGUUUUUAGUGAUAAUUGAUUGAUUAUCGUGUAGGGUGUUAUACUUUUUAAUUAUUCUUCGACUUUGAAUUUUAUUCUAAAACGAUGAGCAAUAAUUUUUGCGAAAACAAAAAAAAAAUUGACUUGGAGAACGAGAAAAAAAAAAGUUGUAAAAAAUAAAAAUCAUAACGGUGUUGUUGCGCGCGUACAAUUCUAUUUCUAACAAAAAAAAAAGUAUAAAUAAAAAAUAAUGAUAUAUUUUUUCUAUCACCCGUGAUAAAUAAAAAAAGGCUCUUCCUAUCGUGUGCGUGUUGUGAAAAGAA